ensembl:piRNA 21ur-6645 ncRNA
UUGUUUAGAAAUGCGGGCGAC